AAAACUAUCAUGCUAGUCUCCUAAAUUUAGGUUCUCUUGGAUAAUUUAUAUUUAGAGCAUACCGGAAAAAUGAUGAAGAAAUUAAAUUUGCCUUCAUAUUGCUUUAUUUAGAUGCACACGUUAGCGCUGUCUAUUGAGAUUCACACCUUAUGUACUGGACCCGAUGAAUUAUCGAAGUUAUUUCUUCAGAUCCAUGCACAUUAACAUGAAUAUUGUAUGUUAUACAAACCUUAAUUUGAAGAAGGAAUGCUGAUUUUCAAUAUUCGUAAAUCAUAUGUGUAGAAUAAUUUACUUUGUUAGCAUUGUGGAUGUUUAAAUUUCAGAGGAAAUAAUACUAUCAUUGGGUUCAACUAGGCAAUAAACUGAAAUUAUCUCUUACA